rnacentral:misc_RNA from 1 species
UCUCCGUAGGUGAACCUGCGGAGGGAUCAUUACAGAGUUCAUGCCCUACCGGGUAGAUCUCCCACCCUAUGUUAUUAUUACUUUGUUGCUUUGGCGGGCCGUUAGGCUCCGGCCCGACUACCGGCCCCGGCUGGUAAGCGCCCGCCAGGGGACCCAAAACCCUGAAUAUUAGUGUCGUCUGAGUACUAUAUAAUAGUUAAAACUUUCAACAACGGAUCUCUUGGUUCUG